CUUCACUUGAGAAACCAAACAUAAUGUUUUCUCAAAGAGAAAUGCCUUCACCAUCUACAAUUUUCUCAGCUUAUGCAUCCAUGACAGCUUCCAUCAUGCUGCUUCGUUCCAUGGCACAAGAACUCAUCCCUCAACCAAUUCGUGGCUACCUUUACAACACCUUCCGCUACCUCAUUAAACCACGUUCCCCUACACUCACACUCAUCAUAGAAGAAUCAACAGGCAUAACACGUAACCAAGUUUAUGAUGCAGCUGAGUCUUAUCUCUCAACUAAAGUCACCCCUGAAAAUGAAAGACUCAAAAUCAGCAAAGUCCCAAAAGAGAAAAAACUCACUAUUCGGUUAGAAAAAGGCGAAAAAUUAACCGAUAUUUACAACGGUUUUCCUCUCAAAUGGAGAUUCAUUUGUGCUGAAACUGAGAAAAACAGUGCAAAUGAUAUGCACAACAAUAAUAACAGUGUAUCUGUUAGAUCAGAGAAAAAAUAUUUUGAACUAAGUUUUCACAAAAAGUAUAAGGAAGUUGUUUUGGAUUCUUAUCUUCCUUUCAUUCUUGAUAAAGCUAAAGAAAUGAAAGAUGAAGAAAGAGUGUUGAAAAUGCAUACAUUAAACACUGCUUAUUGUUAUAGCGGUGUGAAAUGGGAUUCAAUAAAUCUUGAACAUCCUUCAACAUUUGAAACACUUGCUAUGGAGCCAGACAUGAAGAAUGUUAUUAUAGAAGAUUUGAACAUGUUUGUGAAGAGAAGAGAGUUUU
rnacentral:lncRNA from 1 species